rnacentral:rRNA from 1 species
AUGCAAGUCGAGCGGAAACGAUGGUAGCUUGCUACCAGGCGUCGAGCGGCGGACGGGUGAGUAACGCGUGAGAAUCUGCCCAUUUGUGGGGGAUAACUCGGGGAAACUCGAGCUAAUACCGCAUAAUCCCUACGGGGGAAAGCAGGGGACCUUCGGGCCUUGUGCAGAUGGAUGAGCUCGCGUCGGAUUAGCUUGUUGGUGAGGUAAAGGCUCACCAAGGCGACGAUCCGUAGCUGGUCUGAGAGGAUGAUCAGCCACACCGGGACUGAGACACGGCCCGGACUCCUACGGGAGGCAGCAGUGGGGAAUCUUGGACAAUGGGGGCAACCCUGAUCCAGCCAUGCCGCGUGUGUGAAGAAGGCCUUCGGGUUGUAAAGCACUUUCAGUAGGGAGGAAGGCUUACCGCUAAUAACGGUGAGUACUUGACGUUACCUACAGAAGAAGCACCGGCUAAUUUCGUGCCAGCAGCCGCGGUAAUACGAAAGGUGCGAGCGUUAAUCGGAAUUACUGGGCGUAAAGCGCGCGUAGGCGGUUUGUUAAGUCAGAUGUGAAAGCCCCGGGCUCAACCUGGGAAUUGCAUUUGAAACUGGCAGGCUAGAGUGCAGUAGAGGGAGGUGGAAUUUCCGGUGUAGCGGUGAAAUGCGUAGAGAUCGGAAGGAACACCAGUGGCGAAGGCGGCCUCCUGGACUGACACUGACGCUGAGGUGCGAAAGCGUGGGGAGCAAACAGGAUUAGAUACCCUGGUAGUCCACGCCGUAAACGAUGUCUACUAGUCGUGGGAAUCUUAGUAUUCUUGGUGACGAAGUUAACGCGAUAAGUAGACCGCCUGGGGAGUACGGCCGCAAGGUUAAACUCUAUGAUUUGACGGGGGCCCCGCACAAGCGGUGGGAGCAUGUGUUUAUUCGAUGCAACGCGGAGAACCUUACCAGGCCUUGACAUCCUUGGAACUUUCUAGAGAUAGAUUGGUGCCUUCGGGAGCCAAGUGACAGGUGCUGCAUGGCUGUCGUCAGCUCCGUGGUCGUGAGAUGUGGUUUAGUCCCGUAACGAGGGCAACCCUGUCCCUAGUUGCAGCACUUCGGGUGGGAACUCUAAAGGAGAAUGCCGGUGACAAACCGAGAAGGUGGGACGACCUCAAGGCCAUCAUGGCCCUUACGGGCCGGGCCUACCCACAGGGGUACAUG